AAAAUUAUUAAAAAACAAUUAAAUUUAGUCAAAAUGUAGUUAAUUCUAUUACAGUUCUACAAAUAGAAAACAAUACUACUUAGGUAUAUUCAAUCCACACUACUAACUAAAAUUACAUUCAUAAACAUACAGAAUAUAUAGAUGUUAACAAAAAGUAAAUUUGGGAGUGACAAAUGUUUCAAAUGCUUAAUAGUUAAUGUUUAAAAUGUUUGUAUGGUUGAAAUUGUUAAUAGUUACCAAAGUAAAACUAAUCUUUAACCAUUUUAUGAAAUAAACAUUAAUUAAGAUAUACAGUGGAAUCCGCUUAAUGAGGACACAUCAAGAGGUAAUUUAUUUGUCCCCAUUAUCAAUGACUGUUAUCCGACUGUUCUAAUUACCCAAAUUAACGAAAAACCUGAAAAAACUAUUCAAAUGCAUAUACACACAUACAUAAUAAUUUUUUUUUUUAAUUUUAUGAGUAGUACUAAUUAACAGUAGUAGUAGUAUUAAUUAAUUGAUUGAUUUAUUAUACAUA